rnacentral:rRNA from 1 species
GACGAACGAUGGCGGCGUGCUUAACACAUGCAAGUCGAACGGAAAGGCCCUGCUUUUGUGGGGUGCUCGAGUGGCGAACGGGUGAGUAACACGUGAGUAACCUGCCCUUGACUUUGGGAUAACUUCAGGAAACUGGGGCUAAUACCGGAUAGGAGCUCCUGCUGCAUGGUGGGGGUUGGAAAGUUUCGGCGGUUGGGGAUGGACUCGCGGCUUAUCAGCUUGUUGGUGGGGUAGUGGCUUACCAAGGCUUUGACGGGUAGCCGGCCUGAGAGGGUGACCGGCCACAUUGGGACUGAGAUACGGCCCAGACUCCUACGGGAGGCAGCAGUGGGGAAUAUUGCACAAUGGGCGGAAGCCUGAUGCAGCAACGCCGCGUGCGGGAUGACGGCCUUCGGGUUGUAAACCGCUUUCGCCUGUGACGAAGCGUGAGCGACGGUAAUGGGUAAAGAAGCACCGGCUAACUACGUG